rfam:Canis lupus familiaris chromosome 4, whole genome shotgun sequence.
UCACUUCAGCGGCGGAUAUACUAAGAUUGGAAUGAUAUAGAGAAGAUUAGCAUGGCCCCAGUACAAGGAUGAUGUGCAAAUUUGUGAAGCAUUCCAUAUUUUU